UUGUUAUUCCACUCGACGAGAUCGAGAUCAACGAGAGCCUCAACUUUGUGGAAGAACCAGUAGAAAUCAUGGACCGAGAGGUCAAACAAACAAAACAAAGUCGCAUACCCAUCGUGAAGGUUCGCUGGAACGCCAAGCGGGGACCUGAAUUCACAUGGGAACGCGAAGAUCAGAUGAAACAAAAGUACCCUCAUCUCUUUCAUGUUCACUAGUAUCUUUACUACUUUAAAUUUCGGGACGAAAUUCCCUCUAACGGGGGGAUGAUGUGACAACCCGAUAUUUCAACUCUUUGUAAUGACCUAAAAGGUCAAGUAUUGUAACCACUUUUGAGUUAAUAAAAUUAACUUUGAUAAUAAAAUGUCCAAAAAGUUUCUAUUUAAAUUCCUUCUAUGUUUAAAUGUCAUUAAACCAUGAUCGUACGUAAAAAGAACGCCCAAAUCCGACUUCGUAUAUUGAAGUUAUGAUUUUUCCAAGUUCAGCUUAGCAACAGACAGCUAAAAACUCGAAUCGGAGAUCGAGCGACUUUUGGCCGGAAUGACCUAAACGAGAAUCGAAGGUCUCGACAAUGGUAUUUCAGCGGUAAAAAGUCUGGCAAAAACCGACGUCAGAUAAAGAAGUUAUGAAUUUUUAAAGAAAUUCCUUAAUCACGUCAUUUUAAUAAAUAAAUAAUAAAAAUAACUUCGGAAUUUGCCGACGGAAUCUAAACGAAAGUUGUAGAGCGUAGUCUCACCUACACGUUGAUAUAAAGACCAUCAAAAACGGAGUUCGUAUGAAGAAGAUAUGAUUUUUUGAAGUUUAUUAAAUAAAUUAUAUAUUUAUUUAAUUCAAAAAUCCGGUAAUAUCCGAAGAGGAGUCAGCGUCCUCAUCCAAGGUACGCGCCGCGUACCCCCGUACACCCUGCGUACCCGAGGGCCUUGGCCUCGGUUCGUCCACGUCUCCCUAUGUGAAGCUACCGACCCGCCCAUCCGACCCGCCGUCCCAUCCGACCCGCCGUCCCAUCCGAAGUCGAGGCAGUCGAGGACUCGGUCAUGCAUGACGUACAAGUACGCGCUACGUACUAGCGUACGCCCCGUGUAGCGAGGCUUCUUAGACCCCCUAUAAAUAGCAUGCGAAGGCUUCCGAAAAACUUGCUAAUUUCUCUCCUUUCUCUCACGAUCUUGCCUCGUUUUCCGUGUCCGUUCAAACCCGAAGCUCUGGUCUUUUUGCUCAAGACCCGAGGGUCGAUUUUACUCCCGAGAUUCCCGAGAAUCCCGAGAAAAAUCCGUUUCCCGAGACGAAACUCUGCCCGGUUUUCCAUCUCGCUAUCUUCAAACUUUCAAGUGAGUUCAUACCCCUUAAUUUACCUUUUAAAUGUUCUAUAAAUUCUUUUAUAUGCUUUCAAGGGGGGGUUACAAGUAAAACACACGAGUAUUAUCGUGUGUUACAUAAAGAACUAUUUUAUAUGCUUUUAUAUAUCCAAAUCACAUGCGAUUUACAAACUUUAUAAGGAACUUUCAUAUAUAUAACAUAUGUUAAAAUAGCAUUCUAUCUUUUGAAAUAUAAAUUUGUUGUAAUGCAUGUAUAAACUAAACUUUUCUUAGAUUAUUCUUGUCUAUCUUAGACUCUACACCAAAAAUCUAUGCUUUCAUAAACAAGUGAUUCCUUUUCUAGGUAUUUCUAAACAAACAAGACACACUUUUAGAAAACUAUAAUAGGUAUAGUUUUACGAACAAAUUUCUAACUCUUAUGUACUAGAAACAUGAAUUUCAAGAAGUCACUUUCAUAUACAAAAACAAACGAAACAUUUUAACAAGUAGAUCUGUUUUUAUACACCGGUUUUUGUGAGACACUAACUUCACGUACGUUCGAGUACACAUUUCAAGUCCUGUAUUAUAUACCAGAAUCCCUUGGAGGGGGAGCAUGGUGUUUGUGUAUAGAUCUAUACGGGCUUGACAACCCGCGCCCUGACUGUUAGCUGCAGUCCACCGUUUGGGGUGACAAACGUCAUAACAUUCCAACGCCUGAAGAACGUUGUGUAUAGGCAUUCCGAGUCAAUAGUAUGGUUAUAAAACUCACAAGGGGUAUUAAAAAUGCAUUGAUUUACAAGGUUUUCAAACUCAUUGGUUAUUUUACACUUACAUACAUUUUAGAAACAAACAUUGGUCUUGAGUGAAGGCUACUUUUAUACUAGUAGAAAAUAUAGGAUUUUCUAAACACAAACAAACAAAGACAAAACAUUUCAUUUCAUACAAACAUUGUCANAGUCAAUAGUAUGGUUAUAAAACUCACAUGGGGUAUUAAAAAUGCAUUGAUUUACAAGGUUUUCAAACACAUUGGUUAUUUUACACUUACAUACAUUUUAGAAACAAACAUUGGUCUUGAGUGAAGGCUACUUUUAUACUAGUAGAAAAUAUAGGAUUUUCUAAAUACAAACAAACAAAGACAAAACAUUUCAUUUCAUACAAACAUUGUCAUUUAAAUACUUAUGAAACUCACCAGCUUAAAUGCUGAUCUACUCUUUCAAAAUUUAUUUGUAUGUCCCAGGAAAUCAGUAAAUUUCAGGUAUUCAUUUUGCUUUUGAUGAAGGGAUGCUGCGGCGCCAGUUUAAUCUCGUAUUUUGACAUCAUAUUGUAAUUGGUUUUGAACAUGUAACUUUUGACAAAUGUAAACUUUCAAUUAUAUAUAUGAUGGUUGUCUUGCUUUCUUUACUAUGUAUUCAUUUGUUACCUUACCACAUGAAGUCAUCCGCCCCCGAACGUUUCCGCCGUUCAGGUUUGGGGGUGUGACAAAUUGGUAUCAGAGCNAAGUCUGUUACAACAAAACGCCUUAAAUUACAUUAACGUUGUUCCAGAGUAGGCUCUCCUACAGCUGUGAUCCUGAGAAUCUUCCUGUCUGUGCCAGAGUUCUGCGCUAUCGGGCAAUCCUUCUUGAGGUGUCCAAUUUCACCGCAUUGGUGACAUAUCUGGACAGCACCAACAUUGGUGGUGGAAGUGAAUUGUUGAGUAGAAGUUAUGGGGACACGGUUGCUUUUGUUCAUCAUCUCUUUUGGGAAAUCUCUGUAAUAGUGUCCUGCCUCACCACAACUAUAGCAAACUAGGCUUGCUCCAGUGGUGGAUGUAGUUCUACAGAAACAAGCAAUGUGCCCCAUCUUGUUGCAAUUAUUGCAUUGCCGGACUCGGAAAAUUCCUUUGUCGUGAUAGUUGUGCCGGUCGCACUUCGGGAGUGUUCCUUCAUAUGGUCUGCUCGGUAUUGGGAUGGCAGCGGUUUCCACUUCUUGUUGUUGUUGCAUAUCAAUUCUCUAAAAUCAUUUGCAUUCCACUUUGGCUUGAUGUUUUCUUUUCUUGAACUCUGAGUUGUUGUUUUGGGCGGUGGCGACGGUUACUACUUGUUGAUUUCUCGGAUCGUUAACACGAUCGGGAUUGUCAACUCCUUUUUCAGUCUUGGUUGCAUUGACAGUGCUGCGAUUUGCAAGGACAGCCAUCACAGCAGCUGUAACGGUAGCUUGAAAAGUAGCAGCGUCCAUAGGAAGAGCAGGGGUUUCAUUGCUCGGCUGAUUGUUUCCGGAUGAAGACAUGAGUCUGUAACACGAAAGAUUAGGAUUUUGUGAGCGAUUCUGGUUGACCUUAGAUGUAGUUCGAUUGUUCUAGAAGAGAGUAAGGGUAUGUUCUCGAAAGUUUGACUACAUCCCUAUGAUGCAUUCCUAGUACUGAGUGGAAGUAAGUUCGUAGAAUGGUCUCAAGACGUUUGUCGUUCAAGCCGAGGUAUCUUUGGUUGGUGAAUAACAUGAUCCAACCACUGAAAGAGACUUGGAAAUGUCUCCGGAGCUAACUUGCUAUAGUCCAAUGACUUGACUAAAGCAUGUUUCAGAUAAACUCUAAUGAAAGUAUCAUAAGAGUACUUGAAUAAAGAACAACACAGGAGUUAGCCGACUGUUAAUAUCUUUGAUAUUCAUGACGUACAAGUUCGGGAAAAUGACCUUGUACAAAGGCCUUACAUCAUAUCCAGAGAAGAUAGUUCUUGACAGCAUAAAGACCUAACUAAAGUACUUACAGUACAAGAUAGUUUCAUAGAAAAUGCCACAUAGAGCAUAGACAGAAAAACGAUUCCUUUUAACAAGGCAAAUAAAGUAAGGCAUCUACUACUGGCGACAGUCAUCCCUCUGGUGAACUCUCAAUUCAACCAGUUGACGUUGCACAUCAAGUAGGUGUCUUUCGUACACCCUCUGGCGUACUCGGAGCUGUAUGACUUCAGAUCGUGAUUCAGCCAGUGCUUGAAGCAGGGUUUCAUGGUUUCUCUCAGAUCUCUCAUGUUCAUCUUCUAGACGAAUGGUACGGAGGGUAUGAAUUCUCACAUCGGUGACAACUUCUGUGAUCUGAUGUAGGGUUGUCCUGCCUUGAAUCUCAUUUCGGGCCACUCUGCGGACCAAGAUUGGCAAGAUUCUGUCUGCUGAGCCCCCAUUGCUCAGGUCAUAGAAUCUUCGGUCACCAUUAAAUGGCAUGGGCUGAUCUUGUCCUUGGCUCCAUGUUUCCAAGCAUUCCACCCACUCAGCCAUCCGGCCUUGAAAAGUCGGACGAGGGUUAGGAAUUGGAAAGGGAGUUUCUUGGGGUAGGUUCUCAACCUCGGGUUCGGAGUUAGCAUCGUCCGAAAGGUCUUCAUCAUGGUGAUCAUUCAAAGGGAUAGGAUGAUCAUUCUCGGGUUCUUCUUCAAACCAUCCAGCAAUGACUUCGUUCGAAAGAUACUGGUUGCCGUGGGGAUGGAGUCCAGCCAUGUUAUAUAUGUGAGAAUUGGGGUAAGAAAACAAUUAUUAGACGAACUAUCUAGAUAAUUAUUUACAAAAUCUUCAUUAGCUACAUCGCUAUUUGUGAAGUGCAUACCAGUUAUAUGUAAUCGAAACAGGAUAGGCCUUCGAAUAAGUGACCUUAACUCCAAAUUCUCACAGAAUAAGGGUAAAGUAAAAUUUUCACAGAUUCUAAGUCUAUAACAUCCUAAUUACAUAUAGCCUUAUUGUAUCCACUUAGCAACUAUCAACUUAGUAAUGAAGAUUAUGUUUUAGUUUAAUGUUAUGUUCUACUGUUUCAUUGUGGUAGGGUUGGUAAGAUUUCAGACUUGUUGCAACCACACAAUUAAACUUAGGCAUAUGCUAGUCAACCCUCGGAUAAUAUAGGUGAUUAGGCUAUAUCUUCCCAGUUUUAACCAUAUGUCUCUAAGCCCACCUGUGUUGCCCAGCAAUCAUAAUUCUUUUGUACUGUCCUAGUGACACUGAUUUUAGUGUGAAUGUAGGCACGUAUACUUUAUUAAAUAUUUUAUUAUUUAAAGUAUAAACACUUAGUCAGAGUAUUUUUAAUCCCAUUGUAUUUAUAGUUUGUAUAUCUUUUAUGGGUUGAUAUACUUAAUUCACUAAAAACAAUGCUCUGAUACCAAUCUGUCACACCCCAAAACCAUGAACGGCGGAAACGUUCUGGGGCUAAGGACGUCAUGUACAGUAUCACAACGAUGAAAAGUAGUAAACAAGGAACAACAUCAUCCAUUGCAUUAAUAAUAUAAUUUUAAUACAAGUGCGUUCUGUCUAUAUAUAAUAAACACUAAAGUAUAAAUCAAAAUGAAAGAUGAGUCUUGAACGAGCACCAUCUUCUCUAAACCUUGCAUCGGUACUUGUCUAUGGUUGACCUGAGGAUACAAGUUAUUUUGAAAGAGAGUAUCAGCUUUAAAGCUGGUGAGAUCAUAAGUAUUUUAGUGUCUUAAUUUGUAUGUAAGUAUUUGUAUGUAUAUGAACUGUAGGUGUUGAAAAUGUAUAUGAACUGUAGGUGUUGAAAAUGUAUAUGAACUGUAAGUAUGAAAAUGUUUUGAAUGAUCCUAGGAAGCCCUAUGUUUCCUACUAAUCGUAUCCUUCUACCAAGGCAUCUAGUGUUUGUGUGUGGGUCUCUUGUAAGAGUGUGUAUUUUCCCAAAUCUGACUAUCAAUAACCAAAAAUAUAGUUUCUACAUUACCGUGCGUCGUGUGAAUGUUCACGAAGUGAGUGUAAUGGGAAAAUGAAACAGUACUAUGGUGUAGUAUCUAACUACAACCGUACUAACUACCUUAAAUCUAAUGUAAUUUAAAGUAACAUGUAAUCGUCCUGUAUCCUGCUACCGACUAUAGUAAAACGACGAUGUAAGACGCCGUAAGAAAUGAUAUUUGGAACCCGUAGACUUGCAAGUCCCACUGUAGCGAGCAGCAAGGUGUACGAUAGUCAAUCCAGUAUAGAUCUAUACGCAAACUCAUAUGCUCCCCAAUUAAGGAGAUUCUGGACACAAAAACGGUCAUGGAAGGUAGUGCCAUGACCGGUUUAAUGGCUCACCUAACUAAAUGUAAUGUAUAUGUAAUGUAUGUGCUAGCUGUAUUGUGUGUUCUUCCUCUGUCUAGCCUGUAUGUUUGUUUCUCAUCACUAAGUAUUAUGUUUGUUGACUCAUGUAUGAACUGACUCUUUGUGUGAUUUAUUGUUCUAGUGUUAGUAUUAGUAUCUUCCUAAAGUACCCAUAUGGUAGCUUACUAGUAAUAUAACUGGUACGUAUGAACAUGGAAGUAUACCCUUGCUACCCAAGGGUAUUGAAUGAAAUGGGAGAAACUUUAUGCCUAUAUAUGUACACAUGAUAUAUAACUAAUAUUUAAAUGACCUUCGGACGGGUACCCGAUAUCCCACCAGACCACAUCUCAAGCGCGAAAAGGAAAUAGGGUGAAUAGUCUUCCUAAGUCUUUUAAACAUUUCUUAUAUCACUAUACAUAUAUAGGCAUGCAAUUGAUAAUAUAAAAGCAUAAAAUAAGUUUUGUAAAACCUUUGAACAUAAUUAUUAUCUAAGAAAAGAUUGACUUGAUGUCAAUCUAUAAAACGGGUUGAAAGCAUGUGCUUGAUAAAACAGUUUAAGUAUAAAUAAACAUUGGGUUGAAACAUAAUUGUAAAUGAGUUUGAAAUGAAACAUAAAGUGUAAAAUGAAUAGUUUAAUAAGGAUUUUUAAACCUAUAAAACGUUUAUGAAAAUCAUGUGAAGAAAACUGUUUGGUAAAACGGCUAAUGAGUAGCAAAUCAAUUAAAUGCUGCUUAUUAAUCACAUGUUAUUGAUAUAAUAACUAGCAUGAUUUGUGACAACCCGAUAUUUCAACUCUUUGUAAUGACCUAAAAAGUCAAGUAUUGUAGCUACUUUUGAAAUAAUGAAAUUAACUUCGAAGAUGAAAUAUGUAAAAAUCUUUAUAAGAAUAUCUAUUAUGUUAGAC
rnacentral:lncRNA from 1 species